rnacentral:rRNA from 1 species
CCUACGGGGGGCAGCAGUGGGGAAUAUUGCACAAUGGGGGAAACCCUGAUGCAGCGACGCCGCGUGAGCGAUGAAGUAUUUCGGUAUGUAAAGCUCUAUCAGCAGGGAAGAAAAUGACGGUACCUGACUAAGAAGCCCGGCUAACUACGUGCCAGCAGCCGCGGUAAUACGUAGGGGGCAAGCGUUAUCCCGAUUUACUGGGUGUAAAGGGGGCGUAGACGGUCCUGCAAGCCAGAUGUGAAAGCCCGGGGCUCAACCCCGGGACUGCAUUUGGAACUGUAAGGCUAGAGUGUCGGAGAGGCAGGCGGAAUUCCUAGGGUAGCGGUGAAAUGCGUAGAUAUUAGGAGGAACACCAGUGGCGAAGGCGGCCUGCUGGACGAUGACUGACGUUGAGGCUCGAAAGCGUGGGGAGCAAACAGGAUUAGAUACCCCGGUAGUC